CAUAGUUUAUUAGAUCUUACUCUACUUGGAUACCUGUGGUAACCUAAGAGCUAAUACAUGCAACUAAGUCCUGACUCUUGGAAGGGCGCAUUUAUUAGAACAAAACCAAUCGGGUUUAUCCCGCUAUUUGGUGGAUCUGAAUAACUAUGCUGAUCGCACAGUCUUUGUACUGGCGACGUAUCUUUCAAAUGUCUGCCUUAUCAACUUUCGACGGUAGUUUACACGGCUACCGUGGUUUUCACGGGUAACGGAGAAUUAGGGUUCGACUCCGGAGAGGGAGCCUGAGAAACGGCUACCACA
rnacentral:rRNA from 1 species